GCAGUAAAUAUCAGGGCUCUCAAGUCUCACGCAAUCGGAGUGAGACUCACGCAUUUCAACCAGUUCACACGCUCUCACGCCACACUUUGUAUUUCUCACGCUGAGAAGGGAUAACUUGUCCCGCUACAAUUACUAUACAAUUAAUAUACCAUUAAUAGAUGAGGGAAUACUGAGCAAGCGGGUUCGUUACUAAGCAACAUGGAUGCGCGCCACAUGGAGUGUAAAUUGGAAGAGAAAGAUCUGAUGAAUGCUGAUACCAGCCAUGAGACCAGUGCUGAGAGCUGGCAAACUGGGCACUUAGACACAGCAACAUCCCCAUCACCACAAACAGCCUGCAGAUGUGCACCAUAACUGAGGGAAGGGAACAGAGACUGAUGAGAUGAACAGAGAGUCUUCUCUUGAAGGAUCUUCUGUAGUAGUUCCUCUGCAGUGAAGUCCUUGGUAAUCCUAAUAUGGUCUCGUUUCUCUCAAGUGAACGGUUCAGUGAGCUUCUGAGAUACGUUUGCCACUCAUUCUCUGGAAUCUUCCUC